AUUGAACGCUGGCGGCAGGCCUAACACAUGCAAGUCGAACGGUAACAGGAAGAAGCUUGCUUCUUUGCUGACGAGUGGCGGACGGGUGAGUAAUGUCUGGGAAACUGCCUGGUGGAGGGGGAUAACUACUGGAAACGGUAGCUAAUACCGCAUAACGUCGCAAGACCAAAAAGGGGGACCUUCGGGCCUCUUGCCAUCGGAUGUGCCCAGAUGGGAUUAGCUAGUAGGUGGGGUAACGGCUCACCUAGGCGACGAUCCCUAGCUGGUCUGAGAGGAUGACCAGCCACACUGGAACUGAGACACGGUCCAGACUCCUACGGGAGGCAGCAGUGGGGAAUAUUGCACAAUGGGCGCAAGCCUGAUGCAGCCAUGCCGCGUGUAUGAAGAAGGCCUUCGGGUUGUAAAGUACUUUCAGCGGGGAGGAAGGGAGUAAAGUUAAUACCUUGGCUCAUUGACGUUACCCGCAGAAGAAGCACCGGCUAACUCCGUG
rnacentral:rRNA from 1 species